CGCGUAGGCGGCCGAUUAAGUCGGGGGUGAAAGCCCGUGGCUCAACCACAGAAUUGCCUUCGAUACUGGUUGGCUUGAGACCGGAAGAGGACAGCGGAACUGCGAGUGUAGAGGUGAAAUUCGUAGAUAUUCGCAAGAACACCAGUGGCGAAGGCGGCUGUCUGGUCCGGUUCUGACGCUGAGGCGCGAAAGCGUGGGGAGCAAACA
rnacentral:rRNA from 1 species